GUCUACGGCCAUACCACCCUGAACGUGCCCGAUCUUGUCUGAUCUUGGAAGCUAAGCAGGGUCGGGCCUGGUUAGUACUUGGAUGGAAGAAAGAGGGGUUAGGAUGUGAGGGCAAACUGGCUGCUACAUC
rnacentral:rRNA from 1 species